rnacentral:rRNA from 1 species
AAUCUCGGGAAACUGAGGAUAAUACCCCAUAGGUGUGGUAUGCUGGAAGGCUUCCACGCUAAAAGCCCCGGCGCUCCAGGAUGAGUCUGCGGCCUAUCAGGCAGUAGUGGGUGUAACGGACCCACUAACCUACGACGGGUAGGGGCGUUGAGAGACGGAGCCCCCAGAUGGAUUCUGAGACACGAAUCCAGGCCCUACGGGGCGCAGCAGCUACGAAAACUGCCCAAUGUGGGAAACCACGAGGCGGGCAUUCCGAGUGCCAAGGCAUUGCUUUGGCUGUUCUUUCGCCUAAAAAGCGAGAGAAGUAAGGGCCGGGUAAGACGGGUGCCAGCCGCCGCGGUAAUACCCGCGGCCCGAGUGGUGCUCAUUAUUAUUGAGCUUAAAGCGUCCGUAGCCGGCCUUGUAAAUCUUUGGGUAAAUCGGGCAGCUCAACUGUUCGAAUUCCGAGGAGACUGCAAGGCUCGGGACCGGGAGAGGUUCGAGGUACUCUCGGGGUAGGGGUAAAAUCCUGUAAUCCUGAGAGGACCACCAGUGGCGAAGGCGUCGAACUAGAACGGAUCCGACGGUGAGGGACGAAGCCCUGGGGCGCAAACGGGAUUAGAUACCCCGGUAGUCCAGGGUGUAAACGCUGCGGGCUUGGUGUCGGAGGUCCUACGUGGGCGUCCGGUGCCGGAGAGAAAUUGUUAAGCCUGCCGCUUGGGGAGUACGGUCGCAAGACUGAAACUUAAA